AGUCGUCAUUUGUCGGAGGAAUGUAUUUCUGCACUGAGGAGUGACAAGGUUGGCAUCUCUAAAGCUGAAUACAUGGGUGGUGCUGUCCAAAAGUUACUGCUGGAUAUUUUCUUCCAGCAGUAACAGAGGGGGUACCACAGCCAGAAUUCAUAUCGACAUGGAGACAGAGAAUGGUACAAUGAAAGACAUUCAAAGAUUUUUGCGUCUUGAUGACAGCUAUCCUGAAAACUACUUCAUUGUGGGAUCCAGCACCCACAGCCAGCACAUCAACAGCCAGUACUGGAUGAACCUUUUUCAAAAACUGAAGAAUACAGAUUACUUUACUGGUGACUUCUUGGAUAAGCAGCCAAUUCUGCUCACCUGUUUAAAUAUCACUGAGGAAGAACUCUUAAAGUGGUUCACUUAUGGAACAUAAUUCGUAAGAUUAGAGAUACUAUUGCUCCAAGUUGCCGGUCCUACAUGAUGUAUACCCUUCCAUGGCUUUUUGGUGAACAAGACAAUCUCAAACAGGUUUCUGAGCAAGCGGCGGAAACUUGCACAGUCCAACGUCUUCAGAGGACCGUUCACACGUGAUGAGACAGUUCGAAGUAUCAUACCUUCUGAUGACAGAGAACUUUCUUCAUGCACCGUCCACACAUGAUGAAACAAUUGAGUUAUGCUUAUUUUUAAGAGCUAAUAUACGCACAAACCUGUGACACGUGUGAUAUUUUCUUGUAAAAAAAGAGUUUGUGGAGCAAAUGACCUUGUGAGCCUGUCCAGAAUGAACCUGUCACUUUCCCACACAGUCAGAAUUAGGCAGCUGCAGACCCCACAACCCAUAAAGGACAGGCAGUCAAAGAAAUACAGAUGGAGGGGGAAAAAACAGACCUCUGUUUUCUUCGAUUCCCAUGUA